GUGGGGAAUCUUCCGCAAUGGGCGAAAGCCUGACGGAGCAAUGCCGCGUGAGUGAAGAAGGCCUUCGGGUUGUAAAGCUCUAUCCUUGUCCAAGAGAGCAGACUGUAGUAACUGACAGACUGAGGACGGUAGACAAGAAGGAAGCCCCGGCUAACUAUGUGCCAGCAGCCGCGGUAAAACAUAGGGGGCAAGCGUUGUCCGGAAUCACUGGGCGUAAAGGGCGCGUAGGCGGUCUGUUAAGUCGGAUGUGAAAUGUAAGGGCUCAACCCUUAACGUGCAUCCGAUACUGGCAGACUUGAGUGCGGAAGAGGCAAGUGGAAUUCCUAGUGUAGCGGUGAAAUGCGUAGAUAUUAGGAGGAACACCAGUGGCGAAGGCGACUUGCUGGGCCGUAACUGACGCUGAGGCGCGAAAGCGUGGGGAGCAAACAGGA
rnacentral:rRNA from 1 species